rnacentral:misc_RNA from 1 species
AACGCACGAGACCUGCGGACCUGCGGAAGGAUCAUUACCGAGUCGUCGACAGCAGUUGUUGCUGGUCCUCAUAAGGGGACACGUGCACGCUCUGUUUACAUAUCCACUCACACCUGUGCACUCGCUGUAGUCCUAUGGUCUGGGAAGACCCCGUCUUCCUUCUGUAGGCCUGCUCUUUUACAUACACGCUGUAACAAAGUCUCAUGGAAUGCGGUUCUGCGUUUAACGCGAUAUACAGUA